GGCUGGUCCCAGUGUAAUGGUGUUUACAACUCAUUGAUCACAACCAGUUACAGAUUUCUUUGUUCCUUCUCCAUGCCCACUGCUUCACUUGACUAUUUUUAU
rnacentral:Y_RNA from 1 species